rnacentral:rRNA from 1 species
GACGAACGCUGGCGGCGUGCCUAACACAUGCAAGUUGAGCGACGAACCAGGGCUUGCCCUGGGGCAAAGCAGCGAACGGGUGAGUAACACGUGGGUAACCUACCCCGAUAACCGGGACAACCCGAGGAAACUCGGGCUAAUACCGGAUGUGCUCACUGGACUUCGGUUCAGUGCGUAAAGGAAGCUUCGGCCUCCGUAUCGGGAGGGGCCCGCGGCCCAUUAGUUUGUUGGUGAGGUAACGGCUCACCAAGACCGCGAUGGGUAGCUGGUCUGAGAGGACGAUCAGCCACACUGGGACUGAGACACGGCCCAGACUCCUACGGGAGGCAGCAGUGGGGAAUCUUGCGCAAUGCGCGAAAGCGUGACGCAGCAACGCCGCGGGGGGGAAGAAGGCCUUCGGGUUGUAAACCCCUUUCAGGAGGGACGAAGGUUCGGCGGUGAAUAGCCGUCCGGACUGACGGUACCUCCACAAGAAGCCCCGGCUAACUACGU